rnacentral:rRNA from 1 species
AAAUUUGAAAUCUGGUAGCCUUCGGCUGCCCGAGUUGUAAUCUAGAGAAGUGUUUUCCGUGCCGGCCCAUGUACAAGUCCCUUGGAACAGGGCGUCAUAGAGGGUGAGAAUCCCGUCCUUGACAUGGACCCCCGGUGCUUUGUGAUACACUUUCAACGAGUCGAGUUGUUUGGGAAUGCAGCUCAAAAUGGGUGGUGAAUUCCAUCUAAAGCUAAAUAUUGGCGAGAGACCGAUAGCGAACAAGUACCGUGAGGGAAAGAUGAAAAGCACUUUGGAAAGAGAGUUAAACAGUACGUGAAAUUGUUGAAAGGGAAACGAUUGAAGUCAGUCAUGCUCUUUGGAUUCAGCCGUUCUGCGGUGUAUUUCCAUUGAGUGGGGUCAACAUCAGUUUUGACCGCUGGAUAAAGGCACUAGGAAGGUAGCACUCUCGGGUGAACUUAUAGCCUAGCGUCAUAUACAGUGGUUGGGACUGAGGAACGCAGCAUGCCUUUAUGGCCGGGAUUCGUCCACGUACAUGCUUAGGAUGUUGACAUAAUGGCUUUAAACGACCCGUCUUGAAA